GGAGAUGUACCCAAGUGGCUGAAGGGUCCGCACUCGAAAUGCGGUAGGUCGGGCAACCGGCGCGAGGGUUCAAAUCCCUCCAUCUCCGCCA
rnacentral:tRNA from 1 species